rnacentral:lncRNA from 1 species
UUAUUCUUCAUGUAGUCUGGAAGACCUGCUAUUAUUGGUGUAACACCCCAUAAUUUGCCCUCCUCAUUCAUGCAUUCAUUUAGCAUUUCAUAUUGCAUUCCAUCAUGUCAAUCAGAAUUAGAUCCAAGAAACUUAAAAAAAAAACGAAAAAAAAAACGAAAAAAAAAAUAAAAUAAUUUUUUACAAAAAUAAAUAAAUAAAUAAAAAAAAUAAUAAAAAAAUAAAAUAAAAUAUAAUAGAAAAAACUUGGACUUGGACCUCUC